ACGUUUUCAAACUUUCUUUUUAUCUUUGUAGUUGAUGCUGAAUCUAUUGAAAAGUAUUUGAUCCAACAGAAUAAACAUAUCAUUUAAUGCCGUGUCGUGCGGCGUCGUGACUACCAAGAGCUAGUAUUGUGUGCGUGAUAGAUGGGUUUUUCUAUUCGGUUGACUUUUUUCGCCUACGCAUCUUCAUUAACAAAUGAAACAAAUGCAAAUACUGUUGGGUCCACUAAGAAAUUAAUAAUGCCUCAGAGGCUGAUAUCCGUGUUUGAUAUAUGAGUCACGGCAUAUAUUCGAGGGAAAAUACUAAGCUGAUGAGAAAUGUACCGCUCGUGUCGUGAUAGUCCAAAGUAACCAGGAGAAAAGUGGCACUGAAAGGACAUGGAAAUAAACAUGAACUUUUUAUACAUUGUAAGAGUAUGUAAGAUCGCCAAAGUGAAGGCUUUCUAUCUUGUAAAGAUCUCUAGCAACUGACGGACGGAUCACUCGCUUGCCUUUCAUCUGUUUUUAUUUGAACAAGUAGAUCUAAAAGCUCAAGUGAUGUUUCUACCCAUUACAGCAAAUUGGAAAUGUCAUCUUGGAUGGAGAUGUUUAUAUGUUGGUCUGGAAAACGGUGAGAAGAAGACACCUGAUUAACCUGAAGUCUUGCCAUGACUGUCAAUUAUUAUAAAUUUUCUCUAAUGUGAAGGCGGACGGAGGCGUUGAAGCAGAAGAACCUUACCAAGCUUCGAUAAGAAGGAAAAGGGCACCAAGUUGAAUCCUGGGAACUACAGGAAAUUAACUGGUUUUAAGAGUUUUUAACUCAACGAGUCUAGAUAUUCAUUGGUCAGUUUUCACUAAGGCUAGAGUGGAUAUCAAGCGAUCUUUCAAACUGUUCUUAACGUAGCACAGGAAGUCUAACAACUGUCAUUAGAUUGCAAUUUGUAAUCUUUGAAACACAACAGCCAGGCGACAGUUAAAAUUCAAGGAUUUAGAAAGAAAAAUCAUGGUUGCCUUUAAAAACUGUUUCUAUGAUUAAGGAAGAGUAAGAUGUACGUCUCUGCAGGAAAUUUAAGACCAUCUGCUGAUAAUAUGAAUUGUGUUUAGUUUGUUUCCAUGACACUCAGACCAAAGCCGGUAAUUUUGGUCAGAGGGUAAUUUGAAAACAAGAGGCCGGGCUUAAAGGAGGUGAAAAACCAAAUAGAAACAAAAGACUGAUGGUAGAAAAAAAUUGUAUUGUGAGACGGCCAUUUGUAAUUAUGUGCGAAGCCGGAUCUCCUAAGUUGAAUAUUAUAUAUUUCCUUGUUGAUUGUACUUAUUCAACACUCCACAACACCAUAUCUUUACUGUGGAGAGAUCCAUUACGUGUCCUACCCAAGCAACUUGAUAAUUGAUGAAUUUUCUCAGUUUUAACCCAAGUUUUAUUCAAUUCAGGUACGAAAAUGUAAAAGAAAUAUACACCUCAAUAUUAAAGGUUCCCGAAAUGCGA